UUGACCUCGGAUCAGGUAGGGAUACCCGCUGAACUUAAGCAUAUCAAUAAGCGGAGGAAAAGAAACUAACAAGGAUUCCCCUAGUAACUGCGAGUGAAGCGGGAAAAGCUCAAAUUUAAAAUCUGGCGGUCCUCUGGCCGUCCGAGUUGUAAUCUGGAGAAGCGUUUUCCGCGUCGGACCGUGUACAAGUCUUCUGGAACGGAGCGUCAUAGAGGGUGAGAAUCCCGUCUCUGACACGGACUGCCGAUGCUUCAUGUGAUACGCUCUCGAAGAGUCGAGUUGUUUGGGAAUGCAGCUCAAAAUGGGUGGUAAAUUCCAUCUAAAGCUAAAUAUUGGCGAGAGACCGAUAGCGAACAAGUACCGUGAGGGAAGGAUGAAAAGCACUUUGGAAAGAGAGUUAAACAGUACGUGAAAUUGUUGAAAGGGAAACGUUUGAAGUCAGUCGCGUCGGCCGGGACUCAACCUUGCUAUCUUGCUCGGUGCACUUCUCGGUUGACGGGUCAGCAUCAAUUUUGACCGUCGGAUAAAGGCCGAGGGAACGUGGCAUCCUCCGGGGUGUGUUAUAGCCCUUGGUUCGCAUACGGCGAUUGGGAUUGAGGAACUCAGCACGCCUUCAUUGGUCGGGGCUUAAUCGCUCACGUUAACGU
rnacentral:rRNA from 1 species